UUGUAUUAGAAAUUGUUGAAAAUAGUUUAUGUACACUUUGGUAAUAAAUCGUUAGCACAUCAAGAAUAUGUGUAUGUUUAUGUUUAUUGCGAAAGCAUUACGAAGCUUUCACAAGUCGCUAUAAAAAUUUUUUCAAGAUAAUAAAUAUAGUUAAAAAGUUAAAAGUUAAUAGCGUUUCAUUUAACUUAUAUAUUAGUUAAUUUUUAAUUUUAACUAUAUUAUAUUCAACCUUGUUCAUAUUUCUACGCCAACGGCGUACUAUUCAUCGCAGUUGCAUUAUUUUCCACAGUUACAAUAAAAUUAUAGAUGUACAUAUAAUUAGACAUUGGAAAGAGCUUGUAAACGAAGAUUAUUGCUCAUGGAAAUUAAUCUUUGAUUUUUCUCUAUCAUUUAUUUUUUGAAGAAAUUUAUUCGAAAAUUGAAAUAAUAAAUAACAAUAAUUAAGUAAUAUAAAAAGUGACAAUAAGUAAGAUCAACAGGUAAAUAAUAAAUAGACAAAGAAAGAUCUUAUAUAAUCGAAACUGAAUUUUAUUGUCCAAUAAUAUAGAAAUUUAUAUACAGAAUUUAAUUUGAUAUAUUUUUCCAAUUCUACAAAUCGCGCACACUGGUAUAAUUAUAAUAUAAAUAUUUAAAAAACAUAGAUCUAAAAACUACAGCUGGAAUAAUAUCGCAAAUAUUAUCAUAAAUAUAUAUAAAUUGAAGUAACCAAAUUUUACGAGGGACAUUACGCGCUGAUUCUGUAACAUCCUGUAUACAUUAACUUGAAAGAAAGAGAGGUAGAGAGUAGGAGAGAAAGAGACGGGGAGAAGAGAACCAGCGAAAGUACGGCCGAAACGAAGAGGCCUACACGGGCCGCACGCGCGACAGUUCGCGGCAGCCAUCAGCGGUUAUGGACUGACCAUUGGUCGCUCUCGCGGUGUUGCGGGCGGCUCUGUUUCUUUUCCUUUUCCUCUUCCCCUUAUUUUAAGUUUCAUCCCGCAGGAGUGGUCUCACCCCGCCGGAUUUCCCCGGGGUUCUCGUUUAUGCUGAUUCGGUCACGAUUCGCGACGCGAUAUGGCCGCGUACGAUCUUCCGCGCUCGUCGCCGUCGCUAUUGCUGAUAAUUACGCUGUUCGUCGCAGCGCUAACCUCGUCUGUCAACGCUACAACAGCUGGCACAUCCUCGUCGUCCAGUCGCGUGGAUCCUCCAACCGUGUCGCCGUCACCGACGGUCGAGCCCGCUGGUGCAGCGGGUGACAAGAAAACAUUGCGGUAUUCAAGUGUGGCGGAAGGAGGACCUAUAUUAACAUCUCAACAUGGAAGCAUUGAAGUUACAACUGAAUCUAAUAAGUUCGAAGAAACGGAAGCAAGGGGGAAUACACCUAAGGAGAGAUAUGCCAGUUCUUCUGUGGUUGGAAGAAAGGGAGUUAAAGAGAAAAUAAAAGCAAGGAAAGGAGCCCCAGAAAUGACACCAAUGAAAAAUAUUGAUCAGGAUAUGGAUCCAGAGAAGGAAAACGUAUUAUUUAAUCAAACCACAUUUGAAGAUAAAAAACCCAUAAUAGAAAGUACUUCUGUGAUCAAUAAAACAGUUCAUAUUAAAUCUGAAAUUUCCAACAUUAGUAUUUCGAAAUUAAAUGCCACUAAUCCACGCUCCAAUGAUAGCUUAAAUAAUGGUAUAAAUUCUAGUUACUCGAAUACAAGUUCGAUAUCAAUAAAUAGAACCACAUCUCAUUCAGAGAUUAUGAACAAUACGGCGUCAAAAGCAUCCUUGCAUACUGAAAAACAUAUACCAAAACCUAAACCAACGGUAACAACUGUUGAUGGGCCAGAAAUUAACGAAUCUAUACCGCUUUCACGAAAGAAGAAUCCUCCAUUAGGCAUGCCAAGAAAAAUCGAUUACAUUGUGCCGGUCAUUAUAACAAUUGUUGCUUUACCGAUAUUGGGUGUUGCAAUUUUUGUAUUGUAUAGGCGCGGUCGAGAUUGCUGGGAGAAGAGGCACUAUCGAAGAAUGGAUUUUCUCAUCGAUGGAAUGUACAAUGACUGAGAGAACUGCUUGGGGAAAAAGUCUGUUCCAUGAGAUUAUAUAGACAUUAUGCAAGUGUCAAUCAAUUAUUAAUUUCCGUGUUCUUCCAUAUUCUUCCAUUUGCAAACGCAAAUUUGUAUAUGUUUUCUUGAAACAAUCAGAUAUGAAGAAAACAAAUUUUUGUAUAAAUGUUAUAUUUCGAGGCAAUCUUUCUUUUAUAUGUGAAUGUAUGUAUCGCAUUUGAUACCAUCUCUUACAUUAGAAAGUAUAAAAGAGAUUUAUCGAAAACCCAAUUGUCAAAUCCGACAAUAACAAUUGAAUUUUUGCAUAGCUAGUACUGUGUCUUCGAUUCAACGGAAUUAUAUUGUGCUUUGGAAGUGUUCCCUUAGCGAAUGGUAUACGCAUGAUUUUUUUUCGCAUGCAAGAACUAUAGUUUGUAAGAAUAGUUUAACAUAAGAAAUGCGAUAGUGUACGCAAAUUUUACCAAAGAGUACUCGAUUUAUACAUUAUAAGUUUGUUAGAUACAUUUUUUGUUUGUAUUGUAUCUAUAAAGUUAUAUCUUUUUGCAGGAUAAUUUUACAAAUGUUCAAUCUAUUUAGAUUCACUUAGUGAGGAUACUUUAUAUAAUUGCCAUAUACACAGGAUAUCAGAGCAAACACUGUGAAAUAUCUUCUCACUCUGUAAAUAUGACAUAAUGAAGUGUAAAAUUAUUCAAUUUGUGUAAGACCUUUUGAGAUUGCGAUUUUUAAAAGCAAAAUAUUGCGUUUUAGACAUUUAAAAGUCUAUAUUUUCUCAAAUAUAUGUGAGAAAAAGCAAUAAUAAUUAUUAUUUUUGUACUAUGUAAGAGAAAAAAUAUUUACAUUGUUACAAAAAAUAUAUAUAUUUGCAAAUCAUACGAAUUGUUACAUUAUUUCACGCAUCUAUUAAAAUAAUGUACGUCGUCAUAAAAAUUUUACAUUAAUUAUGAGAUAAAGAAAAAGAAAAUAAAAAAAAUUAUAUUUG